rnacentral:rRNA from 1 species
UACGGAGGGUGCAAGCGUUAUCCGGAUUCACUGGGUUUAAAGGGUGCGUAGGUGGUCUAUUAAGUCAGUGCUGAAAUAUCCCGGCUUAACCGGGAGGGUGGCAUUGAUACUGAUGGACUUGAGUGGAGUUGAGGUAGGCGGAAUUGACGGUGUAGCGGUGAAAUGCUUAGAUAUCGUCAAGAACACCAAUAGCGAAGGCAGCUUACUAAGCUCUAACUGACACUGAUGCACGAAAGUGUGGGGAUCAAACAGG